UGGGGAAUCUUCCGCAAUGGACGAAAGUCUGACGGAACAACGCCGCGUGAGUGAUGACGGCCUUCGGGUUGUAAAGCUCUGUUAAUCGGGACGAAUGGUUCUUGUGCAAAUAGUGCGAGGAUUUGACGGUACCGGAAUAGAAAGCCACGGCUAACUACGUGCCAGCAGCCGCGGUAAUACGUAGGUGGCAAGCGUUGUCCGGAAUUAUUGGGCGUAAAGCGCGCGCAGGCGGAUUGGUCAGUCUGUCUUAAAAGUUCGGGGCUUAACCCCGUGAUGGGAUGGAAGCUGCCAAUCUAGAGUAUCGGAGAGGAAAGUGGAAUUCCUAGUGUAGCGGUGAAAUGCGUAGAUAUUAGGAAGAACACCAGUGGCGAAGGCGACUUUCUGGACGAAAACUGACGCUGAGGCGCGAAAGCCAGGGGAGCGAACGGGAUUAGAUACCCCGGUAGUCCUGGCCGUAAACGAUGGGUACUAGGUGUAGGAGGUAUCGACCCCUUCUGUGCCGGAGUUAACGCAAUAAGUACCCCGCCUGGGGAGUACGACCGCAAGGUUG
rnacentral:rRNA from 1 species